rnacentral:tRNA from 1 species
GCUCACCUUCCCUCAAAAGGUGAGGCCCGGUAGGCCCGGUAGGGGCUCACUAUUCAUAUGGUGAGGGUGAGCU